UACGGAGGGGGCGAGCGUUAUUCGGAAUUAUUGGGCGUAAAGGGCGCGUAGGCGGCUGUGUAAGUCAAAGGUGAAAUCCCUCAGCUCAACUGAGGAACUGCCUUUGAAACUGCACAGCUUGAGGCCGGGAGGGGGUGGCGGAAUUCCCAGUGUAGCGGUGAAAUGCGUAGAUAUUGGGAGGAACACCGGUGGCGAAGGCGGCAUCCUGGACCGACAUUGACGCUGAGGCGCGAAAGCCAGGGGAGCAAACGGG
rnacentral:rRNA from 1 species